GCGGGUAUAGUUUAGUGGUAAAACCUAGCCUUCCAAG
rnacentral:tRNA from 31 species